rnacentral:rRNA from 1 species
GACGAACGCUGGCGGCGUGCUUAACACAUGCAAGUCGAGCGGUAAGGCCCUCGGGUACGACGAGCGGCGAACGGGUGAGUAACACGUGGGUGACCUGCCCUUAGCUCUGGGAUAAGCCUGGGAAACGUGGGUCUAAUACCGGAUAUGACCUCAUGACGCAUGUUGUGGGGUGGAAAGCCUUGUGCGGCUAGGGAUGGGCCCGCGGCCUAUCAGCUUGUUGGUGGGGUGAUGGCCUACCAAGGCGACGACGGGUAGCCGGCCUGAGAGGGCGACCGGCCACACUGGGACUGAGACACGGCCCAGACUCCUACGGGAGGCAGCAGUGGGGAAUCUUGCGCAAUGGGCGAAAGCCUGACGCAGCGACGCCGCGUGAGGGAUGAC